UCUGUCUGCUUUGUCCUGCCGCCUAGCCUCCCCGGUAUGCCCCCAGGCUGACCCUCGGCCCGGCUCCAUGACCUCUUCACCCCAUCUCCGUUAUCUCAGCCCCCUCACUCCUCCAGCCUCAUGCUCUCUGCCUUCAUAGCUUCAUUGCACCAUGACCACCACCGGCUCUGGGGUCUGGGCCCCUGUAGAACUUCACCGAACUUCUUGGUCCCACAGAGCGCCUGUUUGCGGGUUCCUUCCAGAGGUCUUAGUUUCCAGGCCCUUGGUCUCCUCAUCCCUUGCCUUUUCUCCCAACCAUGGCUGCAGGGGACCAAAUUGCUCUCCUG
rnacentral:lncRNA from 1 species